GACGAACGCUAGCGGCAGGCUUAAUACAUGCAAGUCGUGGGGCAGCGCAGUGUAGCAAUACAUGGGCGGCGACCGGCAAACGGGUGCGUAACACGUACGCAACCUUCCCGUUACUGGGGAAUAGCCCAGGGAAACUUGGAUUAAUACCCCAUAUUAUAUUGAUUGGGCAUCUAAUUAAUAUCAAAGCUUCGGCGGUAACGGAUGGGCGUGCGGUUGAUUAGGUAGUUGGCGGGGUAACGGCCCACCAAGCCUACGAUCAAUAGCUGAUGUGAGGGCAUGAUCAGCCACACGGGAGCUGGGACACGGGCCCGAAUCCUACGGGAGGCAGCAGUAAGGAAUAUUGGGCAAUGGACGAAAGUCUGACCCAGCCAUGCCGCGUGGAGGAUGAAGGUCCUCUGGAUUGUAAACUUCUUUUUUCUGGGGCGAAAACCGGUUUUUCUAAACCAUUUGACAGUACCAGAAGAAUAAGCACCGGCUAACUCCGUGCCAGCCGCCGCCGUAACAC
rnacentral:rRNA from 1 species